GGAGGAAAGCAGGGGAUCGCAAGACCUUGCACUUUUGGAGCGGCCGAUGUCUGAUUAGCUAGUUGGUGAGGUAAAGGCUUACCAAGGCUUCGAUCAGUAGCUGGUCUGAGAGGACGACCAGCCACACUGGGACUGAGACACGGCCCAGACUCCUACGGGAGGCAGCAGUGGGGAAUUUUGGACAAUGGGGGAAACCCUGAUCCAGCCAUGCCGCGUGAGUGAAGAAGGCCUUCGGGUUGUAAAGCUCUUUCAGCCGGAACGAAACGGUCACGGCUAAUACCUGUGAUCACUGACGGUACCGGAAGAAGAAGCACCGGCUAACUACGUGCCAGCAGCCGCGGUAAUACGUAGGGUGCGAGCGUUAAUCGGAAUUACUGGGCGUAAAGCGUGCGCAGGCGGUUUUGUAAGUCAGAUGUGAAAUCUCCGGGCUUAACCUGGGAACUGCGUUUGAAACUACAAAGCUAG
rnacentral:rRNA from 1 species